GGGCUGAUGGCGGCCGUGACGUUGGACGAGUCCGGGGGCGGCCUCCAGACGCCCGGAGGAGCGCUCAGCCUCGUCUGCAAGGCCUCCGGGUUCACCUUCAGCAGUUAUGGCAUGCACUGGGUGCGCCAGGCGCCCGGCAAGGGGCUGGAGUGGCUUGCAGGUAUCUACAGUGGCAGUAGUUACAUGUACUAUGCGCCGGCGGUGAAGGGCCGUGCCACCAUCUCAAGGGAUGAUGGGCAGAGCACGCUGAAGUUGGAGCUGAUCAACAUCACUGCUGAGGACACCGCCACCUACUUCUGUGCGAAAAAUGAUGACAGUGGAUGUAAUGCUGAUGAGAUCGACGUCGCCUCUGCACUGAGUGGGGUCACCGACCGCCCAGGUUGGGAGAUCAGAGCCCGAGGGAUGGAGCCGAGCCCAGAAUGCACAGAACUCAGCCCAAAUCCGCAGCGGUGA